rnacentral:rRNA from 1 species
GCUCAAAUUUUGAAUCUGGCGGUCGUUGAGGCCGUCCGAGUUGUAAUCUAGAGAAGCGUCUUCCGCGCUGGACCGUGUACAAGUCUCCUGGAAGGGAGCGUCAUAGAGGGUGAGAAUCCCGUCUUUGACACGGACUGCCAGUGCUAUGUGAUGCGCUCUCGACGAGUCGAGUUGUUUGUGAAUGCAGCUCAAAAUGGGUGGUAAAUUCCAUCUAAAGCUAAAUAUGGGCGAGAGACCGAUAGCGAACAAGUACCGUGAGGGAAAGACGAAAAGAACUUUGGAAAGAGAGUUAAACAGUACGUGAAAUUGCUGAAAGGGAAACGCUUGAUGUCAGUCGCGUUCGCCAGGGAUCAACCUAGCUUCAUCGCUCGGUGCAUUUCUUGGUGGAAC